GGGCUUGACAUCCCACGAACCUACCUGAAAGGGUGGGGUGCCCGCAAGGGAGCGUGGAGACAGGUGGUGCAUGGCUGUCGUCAGCUUGUGUCGUGAGAUGUUGGGUUAAGUCCCGCAACGAGCGCAACCCUCACCCCUAGUUGCGACCGGGUUAUGCCGAGCACUCGAGGGGAACUGCCAGCGUCAAGCUGGAGGAAGGCGGGGAUGACGUCAAGUCAUCAUGCCCCUUACGCCCUGGGCUACACACGUGCUACAAUGGCCAGUACAAAGGGACGCGAGACUGCGAAGUGGAGCUAGUCCCAAAAAGCUGGUCUAAGUUCAGAUUGCAGUCUGCAACUCGACUGCAUGAAGGAGGAAUCGCUAGUAAUCGCGUAUCAGCCCGGCGCGGUGAAUACGUUCCCGGGCCUUGUACACACCGCCCGUCACACCACGAAAGCUGUCUGUACUCGAAGUCGCUGAG
rnacentral:rRNA from 1 species